AGGAAGGGAAUAUAACUUCAGCAUCUAAUGUCUCUGCUACUAUAGCAACCAGCCAAACGAGAAGCAGCUCAACACCAGCAGAUAACAGCACAACUUUACCAGUCUCCAAAGCAGAUAACAGCACAACUUCACCAGUCUCCCCAGCAGAUAACAGCACAACUUUACCAGUCUCCCCAGCAGAUAACAGCAGAACUUUACCAGUCUCCCCAGCAAAUAACAGUACAACUUCACCAGUCUCCGCAGUUACCGCAGGGACAACACUGAGAGACACCAGCACAACUCUGGACAAUAGUAGUGUCACAUCUUCACCAGCAGAUGCCAAUACAGUGACUAUUCACCUGAAAGCUUCUGUUUUACGCCAGAAUGAGGACACUGAAGAUGUGAUUUUUAAGGCUUUAUCCAAUUUUAUUUCCCAGACCCUUCUCCAGCUGAACUGUAAGGGCUGCUCAUCGACUAUCAGACGCAUCAAACCCACCUGAGAAAGGACCCCCGUUUCAGCCAAUGGGAGCACCAGUGUGGCUGUAGCUGUACUGUGACAACAGGCGGAACAACACCAUCACCUGUCA